AUUUGUACUGCUACUUGAGCUUAAAACAUUGAAGUUUCAGUCAUGACUCUCUGCCUUUAUUCACAAAUUUCCACUUUAUUUUCAUGUUUCCAUAAUACAACAUCAAAACACAGGUAAGCUGAUAUUAAAAAGCAGACCAUACAUCAGAAUUCUGAGGCAAGGUUCCAACAAGGUACACAAUCGGCGGAGAGCGCUGGAAAGUCACCGUCGAUGUUACGCUGCUUCUCGACCGCUUCGUGAACAGAGCUAAUGUGCAUCUACGUAAAUUGCGUUGUGGACACUGGCGAGGCUUUUCAGCUGGUUAGCCAAACAUGCACAGAAAAAAGCGAUGGCCAGGAAAAUGAGACGAAGAUUAUGAGCCAAACCAGGUGAAAAAAAAGCAACAGGAGAACUCUGUCCAGGUUGGGACUGGAGACCUCAGCAUCCAAGAUCCCUGAUGAUCUUCUCGCCCUGGCUGUCAGUGAAACCGGCUAUGAGCCAAACAACCUGACCAUUCGUGCGUCUGAUCUUGAUAGUUGACAGUUUGGUACCUGAUCUGCUGUCAUGGUGGGCUGGCAUGUCUGAGGCCAGAAGCAGGCUUGACUUUUCAUUUUAAAGAACGAUUUGGUCGUUUUUGGUUGAUGCAGAGUUCGACAGUUUAUCUCCCCCAUCUCCAUCUCUGGCCCCUGCAAGGGGGUAUUUAUUUAAUUGGAACUGGUCCCCUCGUCCAAUCAUACUGCGGGCCUCUCUACCAUUAGAAGUCCUCAUUGAAUUCAUGUUGCAUUCAACUUGUUAGCCCUAAACUCUUUUAGUACUGUGUUCAUUUUUCACAACUCAGAACCCCCCUUACCUUUUCUCCUUCAGUGCUGUAAGCCAUUUUGAAAUUCCAACGACCCAGGGGUCAGUGCACCUUUCAGUCAAGCUGACUGUCAAGCCGCUAGGCACUCGUUUUAGUGGUAGUUUUAGUUGCAUGGAAUCACCGUAAUCGUGGAGAAGCCAGGAUACCACAAGCUGAUGGACUUCGACAAGCGAGGAGUAGGCGGGGGUGGUGGGGGUGGGGGUGGGGGAGGAGGAGGAGGAGGUGGAGGCGGCGGGGGUGGCGGCGCUGGGGGGAAAGGUGAUGCAGAGGAUGGAAAGCGAAUGUCUGGAAAGACGGGUAGCCGCUCAGGGCACAGCAGCCGGGGCACAGGCACCAACUCUGGGGUCCUCAUGGUUGGACCGAAUUUUCGAGUGGGGAAGAAGAUUGGCUGUGGAAACUUCGGAGAGCUGCGACUUGGGAAGAACCUGUAUACCAAUGAAUAUGUGGCCAUCAAACUGGAGCCAAUCAAGUCCCGAGCACCGCAGCUUCACUUAGAGUAUCGCUUCUACAAGCAACUGGGUACCUCAGAGGGUGUUCCUCAGGUGUUUUACUUCGGCCCUUGUGGUAAAUACAAUGCGAUGGUUCUUGAGCUUUUGGGACCCAGUUUAGAAGACCUGUUUGAUCUAUGUGAGCGGACAUUUACUUUGAAGACUGUGCUCAUGAUAGCUAUCCAACUGAUAACGCGCAUGGAGUUUGUUCACACCAGAAGCCUCAUCUACCGAGACGUGAAACCAGAGAACUUCCUCGUGGGUCGACCCGGAUCCAAGCGGCAACACACCAUCCAUAUCAUAGACUUCGGCCUGGCCAAAGAAUACAUUGACCCUGAGACCAAGAAACACAUCCCUUACAGGGAACACAAGAGCUUGACUGGAACUGCGAGAUACAUGAGUAUCAACACACAUCUGGGGAAAGAGCAAAGCAGGCGAGACGACUUGGAAGCGCUUGGUCACAUGUUCAUGUACUUCUUACGAGGAAGCCUUCCGUGGCAGGGGCUUAAGGCUGACACUCUGAAAGAACGCUAUCAGAAGAUAGGUGAUACAAAGAGAGACACACCUAUAGAAGUCCUCUGUGAGGGCUUUCCAGAAGAGAUGGCAACUUACCUGCGGUACGUGCGACGGCUGGACUUCUUCGAGAAGCCAGACUACGACUAUCUUAGGAAGCUCUUCACGGAUCUCUUUGACCGGAAUUCAUACAUCUUUGACUACCAGUAUGACUGGACUGGAAAGCCACUGCCGACUCCUAUUGGACCAGUGGCCACUGAGACUCCACUCCAGACGAACAACAGAGAUAAAACCCCACAGACCAAAAAUCAGGUGAUGAGCUCAACCAACGGCGAGCUGAACACGGAUGACCCCACGGCAGGUCACUCUAACGCACCAAUCACCGCCAACGCUGAGGUGGAGGUGGCUGAUGACACCAAAUGGCCUGUUAAAGAGGUGAACUGUCACUGACUAAAUGCAAUGAGAAUUCCGCCCAACAGUUGGAGCAUGACAAAGAUAAGUGGAGUACAGGACAGGUGGACUCAAGGACAGAGUGUGUGCAGUUAAGCUAAAUAAUGUCUUGUAUGCUUACACCACCGCCUGCACAGAAAACUCCAGUGAGCAGGUGCUGCUGCUUCUUCAAGAGGAGGAAGAGGAAAGUUCUGCAGCGGCACAAAUGAGAGCGAGUGGGCUGUAUGUCUUCGUUUUGUCCUUGGUUCUUUCUCCCCAGCCUUCCUCACUCUUCUCCCUGGUUCUGUUCGUCCCCUCCUGGAGUCUCCGGGACUCACUGGAUCACCAGGCAGCAGAAUGUUCACUCAGCUCAUGUACCGAAUCAACCAAAAGGCAACAGGUCUUCAGCCAGCGAUGGAGCGUGACCCCAAUGGUGGACUGUAUUUAUGGAGACGUACUGAACUGAGAAUUGAGCAGGACUGAACUGCUGAGGAGUCUGAAAAGACGCUGGGUUGUGUCCGAGGGAGACAAACCCACUCACACGCACUCGCGCGUGCAGAGACGCUGCGCUCUCAGUGAAGCUGAUCUCAUAAAAGACUUGAUGGACAGUGGGAUGCAGCUCCCACGCUGACCUUGGAUGCUUCCAGGGGUCAGGGCUUGACCCUCAGAUGAGAACCUCUCAACUACAAGAAUGAAAACUUUCAGUGAUUAUGUAAAAAAAAUGUUUCUGUUAAAGUAUAACAAGACCAUUUGAAUCCUCCAUUGUUGUUUUAUUUUGUCUUUUUUUUCCAUUUGUUCCGAAGGAUUGUAGAUUCUAGUGUGUUCCUGAUUUUUUUUUUUAAUUGUAUUUUUAAUUUUCUCUCUGGGUUGGAGAAUGACAGUUGAAUAACUCUAUUAAAACAAGUGAUGGAAAAAAAAGCCAUUUUGGUUCUUGAAAUUUGUAAUUUCUCCAUUCCAAAUGGAGAAAAAAGGAAACUGACCAGAGGCGUUCGAGCUUGCACAUCCUUGUGAAGGGGGAGAGGACGGAGGAUUUCCUUAAGUCGUGUUCAGAUACCACCACUAAAUAUCCUGCUUCAAUAUCAUGCACU